GGGGCCGUAGCUCAGUUGGGAGAGCGCAGCAAUCGCACUGCUGAGGUCAGGGUUCGACUCCCUCGGCUCCACCA
rnacentral:tRNA from 1 species